GUGAAUCAUCGAAUUUUUGAACGCAAAUUGCACUCUCUUCGGAGAGUAUGCCUGUUUGAGGGUCAGCCUAAAAAAAAAAUCGACAUAGUCGCUGUUUCGCGGUGACAUUCGUCGGAAAUUGGGUCAUCUUAAACCUUUGGGUUUUAAGUGGCUUAAAAUUUUCUCUACGAUUCCACGGACGUUUCUAAUAUUUACUUCUUAUACGUUUAAGGUAUCGAUCUUUAUUAUACGGUACCGCUUCAUCGAAC
rnacentral:misc_RNA from 1 species